rnacentral:tRNA from 1 species
GCCUAUGUGGCCCAGUCGGUUAAGCAUCUGACUUCAGCUCAGGUCAUGAUCUCACAGUCUGUGGGUUCAAGCCCCGCGUUGGGCU